rnacentral:rRNA from 1 species
CCUACGGGAGGCAGCAGUGAGGAAUAUUGGUCAAUGGGCGCGAGCCUGAACCAGCCAAGUAGCGUGAAGGAUGACUGCCCUACGGGUUGUAACUUUCUUUUAUAAAGGAAUAAAGUGAGGCACGUGUGCCUUUUUGUAUGUACUUUAUGAAUAAGGAUCGGCUAACUCUGUGCCAGCAGCCGCGGUAAUACGGAGGAUCCGAGCGUUAUACGGAUUUAGUGGGUGUAAAGGGAGCGUAGAUGGGUUGUUAAGUCAGUUGUGAAAGCUAGGGGCUCAACCGAUAGAUUGCAAUUGAUACUGGCAUUCUUGAGUACUGUUGAGGUAGUCGGAAUUCGGGGUGUAGCGGUGAAAUGCUUAGAUAUAACGAGGAACACCAGUUGCGAAGGCAGCUUCCCAAACUGCCACUGACAUUGAUGCUCGAAAGUGUGGGUAUCAAACAGGAUUAGAUACCCGAGUAGUC